rnacentral:lncRNA from 1 species
AUGAAUGUCCUGGCUGAUGCUAUCCAGAGCAUCAACAAUACCAAAAAGAGGCAAACACCAGGUUCUUAUUAGGUUGUGCUCCAAAGUUACUGUCCAGUUUCUAACUGUGAUGAUGAAGCAUGGUUACAUUGGUGAAUUUGAAAUCACUGAUGAUCAUAGAGCUGGGAAAAUUGUUGUGAACCUGAGGUAGGUUAAACAAGUGUGGAGUGAUCAGCCCCAGAUCCCAGAUUUGAUGUGCAACCCAAAGAUCUAGUAAAAUGGCAGAAUAACCUGUUCCUAUCCCACCAGUUUGGAUUCACUGUACUAACGACCUCAGCUGGCAUUAUGGACCAUGAAGAAGCAAGAUGAAAACAUAUAGGAGGGAAAAUCCUGGAAUUCUUUUUCUAG